GACGAACGCUGGCGGCGUGCUUAACACAUGCAAGUCGAACGGAAAGGCCCUGCUUUUGUGGGGUGCUCGAGUGGCGAACGGGUGAGUAACACGUGAGUAACCUGCCCUUGACUUUGGGAUAACUUCAGGAAACUGGGGCUAAUACCGGAUAGGAGCUCCUGCUGCAUGGUGGGGGUUGGAAAGUUUCGGCGGUUGGGGCUGGACUCGCGGCUUAUCAGCUUGUUGGUGGGGUAGUGGCUUACCAAGGCUUUGACGGGUAGCCGGCCUGAGAGGGUGAACGGCCACAUUGGGACUGAGAGACGGCCCAGACUCCUACGGGAGGCAGCAGUGGGGAAUAUUGCACAAUGGGCGGAAGCCUGAUGCAGCAACGCCGCGUGCGGGAUGACGGCCUUCGGGUUGUAAACCGCUUUCGCCUGUGACGAAGCGUGAGUGACGGUAAUGGGUAAAGAAGCACCGGCUAACUACGUG
rnacentral:rRNA from 1 species